UUCUCUGGCUCUGAAGGCUAAAGAAGCUGCUACUUUAAGUACUUAACAAAGCCGUAGAAGGCGGCUCCCCCUCUUCCUCCCCUUCCUGUGGAUGAGUUGCCUUUGCCCUGCGCCUGCUCAGCGGCAUUUGAACCGCACCGGACUUCCGGGUGCUCCGUCCUCCACGGAAGACCAUCGCUGUGCGGCGGGAAAACUCUCUUCCUCACCUUCUCUUAGCUUGGUGGCAUAAGCCCCUCACCUUGUUCCUCAUAGCUGCCCUUCAAUUCCGGGAAGACUCACCAUCACUGGACCAAGGAGGAUUUUCCUUAUUUCCAGUAUGAUUAUCAAUUAAAACAUCUUUCCAAUUAUUUCUAUGGAUUUGGGGUAACAGCAAUUAGGAACAUUGACAAGCACAUGGGAACUACAACAGAAGUGUAAAAGUGUCAAAAGAUUGGAGAAGAGAAAUCUCACAGCAGUUCUGGGUAAUCAGAGAAGAUCUAACUAACAAGGUCAGACUUGAGCAGGGUCCUGAGAGUUGUGGGUUGUGACCUGGUCCAAUAGGGAUUUCAUGAAGAUUUUCCUGGCAUGAAUGGACUGGACGUGUGAGUAGAAUGGACACUGGAGUUACUUGGCUAUUCUCUUUCAGUUUACUUAUUCCUUAACUUGAAAAUAAUGGGAAAACAACCUACACUUAUGUUUCUCUAGAUCUAAGUGUCUGUAUGCACAAUUAUAAUAUUCUCCAGCAAAAUUUCUUUUUUCCCCUGGAGCUCAAUCUGUACAGUGACCCAUAUCUGGGAGUAGACUAUCAAUGGAACUGAGCCACAGCCUUUGUUGUUAUUAAGCAUAUGCUGCUCUAUCUGAUCAGUAAAAUGCUGUUUAGUUACCUAAGUAAUUGAGUACAUUGCAAAUAAACCUUUCCUAAAUGAUAACUAAAAGGACCUUGGGAACAAAGAGUACACUUUAAAGGCUUAAUCACUUCCAUGCUCUUAGUCCUGCUUCUUAAAAGUUGUUCAGUGAAAGAUCCUAGGAAACUGUAGUACUCAGAAAAGCCAAAGCAGGCGCACAGCAGGCUUUAUUGUCCCUUUGAGGAUUUCUGGCAAGCAUGAAUGUGGGUUCCCAGUUGGAGCAAGAACAUGGGUGGAGUGGCAAGUCAAGAAUGAGGUGACACCUGAGCUGAACAGUAAAGGGCCAGUCAGGAUCGGUCAGGUGGCAAGGGAGUGAAGGACAUUGAUUCUAGACACAGAUGACGGCAUGAACAGUUACAGAGGUGGGGAACAGUGAGAUGAGAAACUGCAUGGCUUGUGUGUAGGAAGCGACAUCAGUGUAUUGUCAGUUCGUUUCCUUUCAGUCAUUCAGCAAGGUGCGCACAGAGGUCUCUCAUGAAGGCUUCAGUCUGUGUUAGUGAUUUUUGCUAUGCUCAUCCUCAGCCUGCAGUCCUCACGUCGCUCUUUGGAUGUGCUGUUAGGGUGGCUGCUGAGUUUUAAGGCUCCACUCCCUGCUUUUGAUGGCAGCUGUGUUCCUGUAACACUGCUGGUGCUUGUUUCUGAAUACUUGCUGAAUGGGUGGUUGGUGGGCUCUAUUUUAUCCUGGCUCAGCCUCAGUCUUAAAUAGAGCUGUGAACCUGGGCCUUGAAUGGGGGACACUCUCAGUGUUCCAAUUUCUCCCCUGCGGCACUCCAGCUCCUGGUUAGUAUCUGUGGCAGGUCUUGUGUGGGACACAGAUUUAGCCCUUCUCUGGUGGCAGGAUUUUUAUAAUCCUUCAUUUUUUUUACAGCUACAUUCCCUGAGCUUAAUUCUACUGCAGCUUCCUUUAGUUACUCAGUAAAAAGAAAUGUCAAGUCUUUCCAAAGUAUCCAACUUAAUUUUCACAUAACAACAACUCUUUCAUGUUACUUAUGUUAAUUACAUAAUUUCAAUAAUGAGCACAACUUACAUCAAUUUGGGGGCAGACAUCUAUAACUCAUGUCAAGAGGUGGGAGCAGAAAUGGACAGGCUCACUAGGGCCUAUCCUGCUAGUCAUGGGUGUUAGUUGGCUGGGGUGUUUUGAAGAGGAGUGUUGGUUAAUCCAGAGUCACUUUAAAAGAUGUUCUUACUGGGAACCCUGUACUGGUCCUUUAUCAUCCCCAUCUGUUUACUCUGUCAGCCCCUUUAUGUUGCUCCCUUGACUUGGGAGGUUCUUUCUGUACCUCUACCUGAAGGACACCUCCUAAUUCCUCUGAUUUUAGUUCAAGCUUACCUCCUUGAUGAAGCCUUUUCUGACUACUGAGACUGGCUGAUCCCCUCCUGUGGGCUUCUCCCUACCCUACUAUGAAAGUACCUGGGACACAUUAAUGCAUUUAUCCUGUGUGUUUCUAGUUCUACUAUACUAUGGGAGGAUAUAAAUUAUUUUUUAUGCACCUUCACAUCUCCAGACCUUAACACUGUCUUAUGGCAUAGUUAGAACUUAGAAGCUUUCCAUUAAAUGAAUGACUACAUUAUAACUGCUGUUGCUCGACUGGUUGACUGAAGUAGAAGUGCUUUCAUAGAGCAGACUGAGCCCCAUUAACAUUUUCUUCAAAGUAGAUAAAGAUAAUAAUUUCAGAAUGUUUCAGAGGAACACUGGGUAACAAUGUAAAUGCUGAAUCUCCAAGGUAUAUAAUGCUUCCAGCUCAGUUCAAUGUCUUUAUUGUUACUGUUGGUUGUAGUUUUAAAGCAAGGGAGGUGAUGAUAAUUUGUUUGCUUGUGGUUGUAUAAGAAACUAUUUUUAAUAUUGCCUCUCUCCCAGAUUUCUUUUUUAACAGCCAAGUGCUUGAGGAUACUAAAUGGAACAAGAUUUUAAGACCUCAUGUGAAAAUUUGUUUAAUGAUAGGAUUUGCAUGGCCCAACCAACCUGAUAUGAAGUACUUAACUGUCAAUGAAAAUUAUUUCUCAAAAAACUAAGUUGUUGUGUCUUGAUGUGUCUCUAGCUUACUUUAUAAUACUAAUAUGAUCUUGGUACUGUGCCCUUCCCCAAGAUUAAGUACUAGCUGAGCUUAAUGGCUCAAACUGUCAACUUCCAGGCUCUUUAUGAAACCAGGGAAAGUGGCCCGCACCUCAGUCAUUACUGCUCAAUUAGGUAAAUAAUCAUCACAUCCAUUCUCAUUAACGCACUCUCUUCACAGAAAGCUUUGUUCCUGAGGUUUUUCCAUUAGUCUUAACAAGUCAUAAAUGCCACUACUACUUCCUUUUCUCCAUUGGUCCA